rnacentral:hammerhead_ribozyme from 1 species
CCACUACUGAGGAGUCCCAUAAUACGACGAAACGGCCGUCCAGUGU